CCAACAAACCUUACUUCUUGUUGGUACCAAUGUUGGGGACAUUGGGUUGUGGGAAGUUGGUUCUAGGGAGCGGUUAGUUUUGAGGAAUUUCAAAGUUUGGGAUCUCAGUGCAUGUACAAUGCCUCUGCAGGCACUCUGGUUAAAGAUCCUGGUGUAUCUGUUAACCGUGUGAUUUGGAGCCCUAACGGUUCUUUGUUUGGAGUUGCAUAGUCCAGGCACAUCGUUCAAAUAUAUUCUUAUCAUGGGAAUGAUAAUAUACAGUAGCACCUGGAGAUUGAUGCUCAUGUUGGCGAAGUAAAUGACAUCGCAUUCUCCCACCCAAACAAGCAACUUUGUGUGAUAACCUGUGGAGACGAUAAGACCAUCAAGGUGUGGGAUGCCACUACUGGUGCAAAGCAAUAUACAUUUGAAGGUCAUGAGGCUCCUAUUUAUUCUGUCUGUCCUCACUAUAAGGAAAACAUUCAGG